AGAGAAUAGAUACUCCUUCCUUUCUUAUCUCUUCAAAAGUCUUCACAGUUUCUUAAGGGCAGUGAAAAAAAAAUUGUGCACAUGUACCCUAAAACUUAAAGUAUAAUAAUAAAAGAAAAAAAAAACUUAAAAAAAAAAGACCAAGAAAAAAAAAAAGAAUCUUCCUUCCAAAAAUGUUUUAAUGUAAUUGUAGAAACAGAGGCCUAUUAAACGUAAGACAACACC
rnacentral:lncRNA from 1 species